CUUUCUCCGCCGGCGACCGGCGCACGGGUGAGUAACACGUAUGCAACCUGCCCCUGUCAGGGGGACAACCCGCCGAAAGGCGGGGCUAAACCCGCGUACAUGCCACCGGGGCAUCCCGGAGGGCAGGAAAGGCUUCGGCCGGACAGGGGAUGGGCAUGCGGCGCAUUAGGCAGUAGGCGGGGUAACGGCCCACCUAACCGACGAUGCGUAGGGGUUCUGAGAGGAAGGUCCCCCACACUGGUACUGAGACACGGACCAGACUCCUACGGGAGGCAGCAG
rnacentral:rRNA from 1 species